rnacentral:rRNA from 1 species
GAGUUUGAUCAUGGCUCAGAUUGAACGCUGGCGGCACGCUUAACACAUGCAAGUCGAACGGCAGCAGCGUCUAGUUUACUAGAUGGCUGGCGAGUGGCGGACGGGUGAGUAACGCGUAGGGAGCUGUCUAUUAGAGGGGGAUAACCCUGGGAAACUCGGGCUAAUACCGCAUAAUCUCUGAGGAGGAAAGCUGGGGACCUUAGGGCCUGGCGCUGAUAGAGGCACCUGCGUCGGAUUAGCUAGUUGGUGGGGUAACUGCUUACCAAGGCGAUGAUCCGUAGCUGGUCUGAGAGGACGAUCAGCCACACUGGGACUGAGACACGGCCCAGACUCCUACGGGAGGCAGCAGUGGGGAAUAUUGGACAAUGGGGGCAACCCUGAUCCAGCGAUGCCGCGUGUGUGAAGGAGGCCUGCGGGUUGUAAAGCACUUUAGUUGGGGAGGAAGUAUUUCUGGUGAAUAGCUGGGGAUAUUGACGUUACCCAAAGAAUAAGCACCGGCUAACUCUGU